UACGGAGGGUGCAAGCGUUGUCCGGAUUUAUUGGGUUUAAAGGGUGCGUAGGCGGCUGAUUAAGUCUGGGGUGAAAGCCCGUUGCUCAACAACGGAACUGCCCUGGAAACUGGUUAGCUUGAGUACAGACGAGGGUGGCGGAAUGGAUGCUGUAGCGGUGAAAUGCAUAGAUAGCAUCCAGAACCCCGAUUGCGAAGCAGCUGCCUAGACCUGUAACUGACGCUGAGGCACGAAAGCGUGGGGAGCGAACAGG
rnacentral:rRNA from 1 species